rnacentral:rRNA from 1 species
CAGUAGCCGCGGGAAUACAGAGGGUGCAAGCGUUAAUCGGAAUUACUGGGCGUAAAGCGCGCGUAGGUGGUUUGUUAAGUCGAAUGUGAAAUCCCCGGGCUCAACCUGGGAACUGCAUCCGAAACUGGCAAGCUAGAGUAUGGUAGAGGGUAGUGGAAUUUCCUGUGUAGCGGUGAAAUGCGUAGAUAUAGGAAGGAACACCAGUGGCGAAGGCGACUACCUGGACUGAUACUGACACUGAGGUGCGAAAGCGUGGGGAGCAAACAGGAUUAGAUACCCCUGUAGUCCCUGUCUCUUAUAA